rnacentral:rRNA from 1 species
AUGAGUUAAGUAUAAACCCCUUUACAAGUAUCAAUUGGAGGGCAAGUCUGGUGCCAGCAGCCGCGGUAAUUCCAGCUCCAAUAGCGUAUAUUAAAGUUGUUGCAGUUAAAAAGCUCGUAGUUGGAUUUCUGUUAAUAAUUUAUAUAUAAUAUUUUAUGAUAUUUAUAUAAUAUUAACAUAAUUCAUAUUACUAUAUAUUUAUUAGUAUAUGAAAUUUUACUUUGAGAAAAUUAGAGUGCUUAAAGCAGGCAUUGGCCUUGAAUACUCCAGCAUGGAAUAAUAUAAAAGAUUUUUAUCUUUUUUAUUGGUUCUAAGAUAAAAAUAAUGAUUAAUAGGGACAGUUGGGGGCAUUUGUAUUUAACAGUCAGAGGUGAAAUUCUUAGAUUUGUUAAAGACAAACUAGUGCGAAAGCAUUUGCCAAGGAUGUUUUCAUUAAUCAAGAACGAAAGUUAGGGGAUCGAAGACGAUCAGAUACCGUCGUAGU